rnacentral:lncRNA from 1 species
AAAUUUUUGCCCGAAUUUUAUUCAUUUUUAGUCGUUUUAAUUUUGUUCUUUCGUCAAAAUAGUCAGAUUGAAUAAAUAAAAUUUUCCAUGUUAUUAUUUUAAUUUUAUCAAGGUUAUUUAAAAAGUUGUGAAUUUUAUUUGAUUCAAUUGAUUAAAAUUGUUUUAAAUCGAUUAAGUCAUCUAAAAAAUGCAUUAUAUACAUUUUGAUUUAUUUAAAUAAUGUGUGUUUCUUGGUGUGCUUCUUUGAUUCAAUCUGAACCGUUGAUUCAAAUUAAUCAAGGGUCUAAGUUCACAAUCCAUGUACAUGUUAUUAUCCAAUCAGAAUUUAGAAAUAAAUUGAAUAAUAAUUAAAAAAAAUGAAAAGAAAAGAAAACUCUCUUCUUCCAACGGUAACAAAAAAUAAUAAGAGAAAAAAGAAAAGAAAAAGUACAUUGGACUCUCUCAAACGGUAAUAAAAAAGGGGAAGAAAGAGGCAUUAAAGAGAGGACGUUCUUUCUCUCUUCGGGGAUCUUCCUCAACUCCUUUUCUUCCUCAAUCUAAAAAUAUCAUCUUCCAAAUAACCACUUUCCUCUCUCUUCCUUCACCAACAACAAUCUACCCUCAUUAACUUCACCAAAAUUCUUCCAUCACACAAAACUCAAAUCAAAUUCCUUUCUGCCUCCAUUGUGAAACAGCCACCGUUGUACGCCUUCUUCUUCUUCUCCAUUACACCGCCUCGCCGUCACGACAACCAUCGUCACUCACCCUCACCUCUUCCGAUUUUCACCAUUAACGUCGGGUCGUCCUCAUAAGUGCGAAAGCC